rnacentral:rRNA from 1 species
GAAGGCUCAUUAAGUCCGUUGAGGACGAGGCAGCAGUAGAGAAUAUUGUGCAAUGUACGGCAGUAUGACACAGAGAGCACACGCCCUCUUGGCCUGUCCAACUAAGUGCCAGCAGACGCGGUUAGACUUAGGGGCCAAGCCUUUAUAAGCAAAGGGGCGUAAAGGGUGUGUAGGCCGACUGCCCCACCCCCUCCCAAGGUGGUAAAUGGAAUUUUUCUGUAGCGGUAGAAUGUGCGGAUAGAAAAUAGAACCCCAAAAGCAGAAGCAAUUUACCGCGGGGCGGGAGGGGGGGGCCCCUUGGGGCGCCCCCCCGGGUCACGGGCUGAAACACGAGGGUGUGGGGAACAAACAGGAUUAGAGACCCUGGUAGUCCACACUGUAAACGAUGGAGAAAAUGCGAAUGCAGCCCCGAAAGGCAGCAAUCUCCCGCCUGAGUAGUACGAUCGCAAGAUUAAAAUUCAAAAAAUUUGGCUGUUCACCGUUUCGAUUAGAGGAGCGUGUAGUUUAAUUCGAUAAACCGCGAGAUACCUUACCCAAACUUGAAUCCUUGAGGAUUCCAAGGAAUCCUUAUGGACCGGUAUUGCAUGGCCGUCGUCAGUUCGUGUAUGAAACCUUAAACGGACCCAACCCGAGGAUUAGCCGCGGAUGAAGUCAGGUCUUAUGGUCCCAAUGUUUGGGGAUAAUAUGCGCUACAUUUUCUUAUACAAUGGGAAACCUGGGAGGUGAAACCCAAAAGUGAGAGUUCGGUAGGCUAUUGGAAGAUGGCCGAAAGUUGAAUUUAAUAGUAAUCGGAAAGUAUAGCGUUCCGGUGAAAAUGGUCUAGGUGUUAGCACAAAUCGCCCGUCACCUUAACUUAGGAUGAUGGUUCGGACGCCGCCGCGCCCCCACGGGCCCCGGCGGUUACGGGCCCCUACGAAGUUAAGCAA